UACGUAGGGUGCGAGCGUUGUCCGGAAUUAUUGGGCGUAAAGAGCUUGUAGGUGGUUUGUCGCGUCUGCUGUGAAAUCCCGAGGCUCAACCUCGGGUCUGCAGUCGAUACGGGCAAACUAGAGUAUUGCAGGGGAGACUGGAAUUCCUGGUGUAGCGGUGAAAUGCGCAGAUAUCAGGAGGAACACCGGUGGCGAAGGCGGGUCUCUGGGCAAUAACUGACGCUGAGGAGCGAAAGCGUGGGGAGCGAACAGG
rnacentral:rRNA from 1 species